UGCGCACAUUAAUAUUGCAUGAUGGCUAAGUUUACUUUAGAGACAACUAAUAUGCAAAACGCAUUUAUUAAAAAACAAGACAUAACAAAAAAUCAGACACUCACUUAUAGCACUAAGCAUUAGUUCUUACUUAGGAGGUAAAAAACUGAAUUGCUCUUGUGCAGAACGGGCUCCAUUGUUGGCUAUCCUCAUAUUCUCAGUUUCAGUUAUCUCAACAGCGUCGUGUAUGGUGGACGCAAUUUAUGAGACAAACCUCUAAACAUCCGGUUCGGUUGUCCCUCCUUUGUAAAAAGUGUCGUUGAGACACUUGUCCCUCGCAGAAUUGUAACUCUUGUAAUAAAUAUAAAGUUCUGGGUCAUCAAUUGGGGUGAUUGGAUCACACUUGUCGUCGUGCGGAUCUAGGUCGCUUCCCGUAGGAUUAACUGGAGCCAGAUCCAAGGUGCUUCUCGCAGCUACAACUGGAGGAGGAACUUUCCUACUCGUGCACAGUAACCUACGAAGACUCAUGAUUCUCACGAUGUGGUUUCGUUUUCUUUAGAUUCUUUUGUGAUGAAGAUGAUACAGAAUGAUAGAGUUAGGAACCUCUACUAUAUAUAGUGCCACAUUUCUUUUGUAAUUUUAUAGUAUGAUUCAUUCUAUUUUUUUCUUAGUUACAUUGUUUAAAACUUAUUUACAAUUAUUUACCUU
rnacentral:sRNA from 1 species